rnacentral:piRNA from 1 species
UAGAGGUUGACCUGCCUGAUGCUCUGUCC